GUUUCCGUAGUGUAGUGGUUAUCACGUUUGCCUAACACGCGAAAGGUCCCUGGUUCGAGUCCAGGCGGAAACA
rnacentral:tRNA from 1 species